UGGGGAAUUUUGGACAAUGGGCGCAAGCCUGAUCCAGCAAUGCCGCGUGCAGGAUGAAGGCCUUCGGGUUGUAAACUGCUUUUGUACGGAACGAAAAGGCUCUGGUUAAUACCUGGGGCUCAUGACGGUACCGUAAGAAUAAGCACCGGCUAACUACGUGCCAGCAGCCGCGGUAAUACGUAGGGUGCAAGCGUUAAUCGGAAUUACUGGGCGUAAAGCGUGCGCAGGCGGUUAUGCAAGACAGAGGUGAAAUCCCCGGGCUCAACCUUGGAACUGCCUUUGUGACUGCAUAGCUAGAGUACGGGAGAGGGGGAUGGAAUUCCGCGUGUAGCAGUGAAAUGCGUAGAUAUGCGGAGGAACACCGAUAGCGAAGGCAAUCCCCUGGACCUGUACUGACGCUCAUGCACGAAAGCGUGGGGAGCAAACA
rnacentral:rRNA from 1 species